rnacentral:misc_RNA from 1 species
AAUGUUAGAAGGUGCAAAAGCCACAACGGAGACUGUUGAUGCUUUAAGAACUGGAGCAGCUGCAAUGAAAGCUAUGCAAAAGGCAACGAAUAUUGACGAUGUCGACAAAACAAUGGAUGAGAUCAAUGAGCAGACUGAGAAUAUGAAAUUGAUUCAGGAAGCAUUGUCAACUCCAAUUGGUUCAGCUGCUGAUUUUGAUGAAGAUGAAUUGGAAGCUGAACUUGAGGAGUUGGAGGGAGCAGAACUGGAG